CUUAUACUUAACCCUUACUUGAAUUAUAAUAGCGAGUAAGGAGUAGGAGGGCGUAAAGUUUCUAUUAUAAUGGCUGUUAAGCAUCUAAGCGUAAGCUUAUGUGGAACUGCGUUUAGUGCAGAUCUUGGUGGUAGUAGCAAAUAUUCAAAUGAGAACUUUGAAGACCGAAGUGGAGAAGGGUUCCAUGAGAACAGCAAUUGGUCAUGGGUUAUUCGAUCCUAAGGCAUGGGGAAGUUCCUUGUAAUACAAGAGCACUCUGCUCGUUGCCAAAAGGGGAAUGAGGUUAAUAUUCCUCAAACUGGACGUGGAUAUUGUAUGGUAACAUAAGUGAGCCUGGAGACGUCGGCAUGAACCCCUGGAAGAGUUAUCUUUUCUUUUUAACAACUACCACCCUGAAAUUGGAUUAUCCAGAGCUAGGUUAUAUGUUGGUCAGAGCAUCACACUCUAAGUGAUGUCAGGUGCGUUCAUGACGACCCUU
rnacentral:rRNA from 1 species